rnacentral:rRNA from 1 species
UACGAACCGUCCAAACGUUAUUCGGAUUCAUUGGGCUUAAAGGGUACGUAGGCGGCGCCAUCAGUCGGGUGUGAAAGCCCUCGGCUCAACCGAGGAACUGCGCCCGAUACUGCGGUGCUUGAGGGAGACAGAGGUAAGCGGAACUGAUGGUGGAGCGGUGAAAUGCGUUGAUAUCAUCAGGAACACCGGUGGCGAAAGCGGCUUACUGGGUCUCUUCUGACGCUGAGGUAACGAAAGCUAGGGGAGCGAACGGG